AGAUACCAGAUUGCUAAUAUCCACAGCUGAUUGCAAUUCUGAGGCUGGAGGAGAAUUAACGUUGGCUACCUCAAGGAGGAUGGGGCUUCUAGGAGUGUUUUAGGAGGAUUAUUAUUUUUCUCUAAAGGCCAGCUCUGAGAUCAGAACCAGGUUGCUUGGAGCUUUAUUUCGACCAGUCUUGAAAACCUCCAGUCUGCCUAGGUCUCCACUACUCAACUGUCCUGCUAAAGAACACUCCUCUGAGGCUGCAGGAGUUGCUGAGCUCGUUUAUAUGCUUUCUCAUGGCAAGAAGAGAACAUGAGAAAAUUGCCUUCCCAGAUGCAGUUUUCAAGAACCAGGAUGAGAAGGUCCUUGAGAGGGAAAGAGAGGAGGUGAUAAGGAUACCAACAUCAGCACUGUGAACUUCACAUUCAACAAAAAUGUCAAGAUCAUCCACAGAGUUCUUGGGCUUUUUGGCUCGACGGGAUUCAAGGUGAUAGAUUUGAGUUUCAAACAUCUACAAGAGCCAAGUGUUCAUAUGAUGAAGCUUCUCCAAAGACUGAAAAUCCAGCUGCUGGUAUCCACCUUCUAGGCUGUGAGACCUCUCUCAGGGAAGAACACACAAAGAAUGCAGCCUUCACACACCAGCCAUCCACUGUGAGCAGAUGAAUAUGCCUGUAAGAGAAAUCUCCCCUUGUACCCUGAAAGAUCUCCCUGGGUACCCUGAAAGGUGUACAGUUCCAGACUCCAUGGGAACCUUGGACAAUUGGGAGGCCCUGAGUGGAGAGUGACUGUGAGAGAAGGCAAGGUGGAUCACUGUUCAUCAUUGGCAUCCCAUCCCUGGUCCCAGACCUCCCAGGUGCAGCAGAUUAUGAUCUGCAUGGUGAAGAUCGCCUUCUGCUAACCUUUGGCACAAAACAUGCAUAGACUUCCCCCAGGUUCCCAGGAAUAAGGUAACUUUUAUACGUUAGUGAGAAAAAAUGGAUUAGUGUCUGAAGGCCAGAAGAGUUGAGAGUCACCUAUAGAUGUCUAUUUCUCUGCUAAUCUCUAAUAAUUAAGAUAUAUAACAUAAUUAUUGAUACAGUUCACUGGAAGAUAAUAGACUGAGGCUAGAUCAAGACUGGCACUUUCACAUGAUAGCUUCUAGUCACUAGCAAGUUACAGCAAAUCUUCAUUUGAUCUUCUGGAGGGCAUUGCAAAGGAUCCCAAUCUCACCUGUAAAGGAAAGAAUCAGAGCAGUUAAUUCCAAAACUAGCCCAUUUCUAACACUCUUGUAUGUUUUUUGCCCUUUAUGUCCAUUCUCUUAUAGAAUAAGGUGAGAACAGAAGUGCUGAACUGGACAUGUUUAUUAGAGUCUUACUGGAACUAGGUCUGCAGAGUCAUCCCUUUGCCUUUGCUAGCCAGGCUGGCUCACAGGAUCAGAGGAGAUGGCUCUCAGCAGGCCAGCCAAUGUGAGGGGGAAAAUGUGAUCAAAGCCACGCUUCUCCUUCUCUUCCUUACUGAAAGCAGCUAGGAUCCACCUCAAAGCCAUCUGCCAUUUCCUACCAUCUCCCCCAAAACUGGGUUUUUCAGAUUUAGCAAGUUACAGUCAAGUGGAAAUGCUUGUUGAAGCUUGGCUAGAAAUUGGAAGUAUUUUUUUCAUGAGAAAAGAGGUAUGUGCCGCCUUAUCUUAGAUAGGGCUCAGAGCAUAAAAUGCAGCCAGAUGGAAUCUGCCUUUUGGUUCCUAUUUCUGACCCAAGUUUUGAGGAAUUCAAGGUAACAAAUGUGCAAUUCCUUACUAUUGAUCGUGUCAGCUAAGUUCUUCAGCUGCUUUGCAUUGUCCAAGACUUCAAUCCUCUGUGUGUAGGGAUUGUACCGAACAGAGAAAGGACGAGGGAUUGUUUGAGCAAAUUUCCUGAGGGAAAAAACAUAAACAAAUGUACAGUUUAUUUUUUUUUUCCACCAACUCUUUUCUUUGUGUGUGCAUUUGUUGAUUGUGGGUGAAAAAAAUCUAUGGAAGGAUAUAACUGAAAUUCCUGCUGACUGAUCUGAGACCUACAAUGUUCUGCAACACACUUGAAAUUGCAUUUGUCCUUAUCACCUCUGGUUUUUUUCUGAACAGAACUAAGCUAUUGGCAUGGCAACACUGCUCCUGGUAUAGGCCAACUAUGUAGCAACUGGGAUCUGCCAAGCUUGCAAACCUCAUUUUCCUUUCAUUAGUGCAAAAGCUAAGUGAGGCAGCAUUUUCCACAUCCUCAUGGAGCUUGCUGCUCAGGGAUACAUACAGAGAAGACAAAAGCUCUGUGCAGGAUAUCAAUAGCCCAGCCCAGAAGAGAAGGCCAUCCUUCCCAGGUAUUUCCCCAGAGAAAAGGGCACAAGGAAAAGCUGCCAGAGUUAUGACAGCUAAGCAAGCAGCUGGGCAGAGAAGGACCUCAGAGCUGGGGAGCCUUCAGAGGAAAAGGAGUAGAUACUACGAGAUUUUUUUUUACAAUAACUGUUAAUUCUAGUAAUGGUAAAGUUACUUGGUUUACAUUAAUUAGCCAGAUUUGACUUUAAAUGUUAGUAUCACUGCAGUUGAACAAAUAACCUUUUUUUUUUUGGUUAGACAGACGAAGCUCUUAGUUACACUAAGCACAAAUUCUUGGAUUCAAGCAUAAGGUAUAUUCCUAUUACUAUUCAUUUUUGCCCAAGAUUCUGAGGCUAUAAAAUGUUUAUUAUGUUUUAGCAUUGCACAGAUUUUUCUAAUGCCUCUCAAAACAUGAAUGUCAACCCAAGACCUAUAACGGCGAUGAGAUCCUCUGCAUUUGCAGCAGACAAGAAUGAGUUCUUCUCUGGAAUGACUGCAGUACCUUAGC